rnacentral:rRNA from 1 species
AACGAACGCUGGCGGCAUGCCUAACACAUGCAAGUCGGACGAGCCUUCCUGGUUUUUUGGCGCACGGGUGCGUAACGCGACGGAACCUGCUCUUGGGUUCGGCAUAACCUCCCGACCUGGGUACCCAUUUCGGAUAAUGUCUUAGACCCAAUGAUUUAUCUCCUUUGGAUGGGCCCGCGUGGGAUUAGCUAGUUGGUAGGGUAAAUGCAUACGAAGUCGACGAUCCAGAGCUGGUCUGAGAGGAGGAUCAGCCACACUGGGACUGGGACACGGACCAGACUCCUACGGGAGGCAGCAGUGGGGAAUAUGGGACAAUGGGGGAAAGUCUGAGCCAGAAAUGCCGGGUGAGUGAUGAAGGGCUUAGGGUUGUAAAGCUCUUUUACCCGGGAUGAUAAUGACAGUACCGGGAGAAUAAGCGCCGGCUAACUCCGUG